ensembl:lncRNA
AGUAGAGAGAAGGGAAGAGAAAGCCUAAAGACAAAGCAACAGACCUGGCAACCCUGGCGAUGAGGUCCGCGGGACGAGAAAAGACGCGGGACGUGAGGAGCGGGGAAGAAAGAGUUUGGGAAAGAGCGAGAAAGGACGAGUUUGGCGGGGCGGAGAGAAGAGAGAAUAGAGGGAGAGUGGGCGAGUAGCCGACCCGGCGACGGAGUCCACGAUCGGCCCCCGGACUCGCAUAACUCAGCCCAGCGGUGGACCGCGGGGACGACACCCCCGGGUCCCGCCUCGCAAACCCCCGCCAGCGGGUAGCCAACCCGGUCGCUCAGUCCGUAUCGGUUCCCGGACUUCGAGAACACAACCCAGCGACCUCGCAAACACCAUGAGGACGACGAGUGGGGUGUGUUUUUUUGUUGGCGAUUGAGCGUGAAGCCAGUGGUUUUUGCAGGCCUAAAGGCCUGCAGGUGGAAGGGCGAAUGGGCCCUUGGGCGAACGUGUCUAUGGAUUAUUCCUGCAAGCAGGGGAACGCAGGGGUGACCAAGGCUGGAAGAAGGUGCACGUCAGACAGACCUAUCCGGGGGCAAUCCAGCACCACAGUAGCCCAGGUUCAUCCGGGGCGUUUGAAGCAGCUGUUUGCAAAACCAACUCACCACAAGGUCGACUUCAAUCAUACCUCAUGAAAAGUGCUUCACGUAAUCACUCUGAACACCUGCCCCCCCCCGCCUCAAACCUCUGGAUUCAUUCAUUUUUUCAUUUCAUUUCAUUAAUGGCUGUAAACUGGAUCCACCUCAUCGUGUCCUUCAUCAAAGAGAGGAAGAGGAGAGGAAGUCGUUGGUCUCGGGCCUCUCUGUAGUUGUGCCAGG